AUUAUUUGUUACUUGUUUUCCCCUGUAGCAGAGAUGGAUUCGACACUGCCUGGACGUGUGCCAGGGAUGAAGGAAUCAACAGCGAUAUCGUAGGGAUGGGAGGAUUCCCCUGGCUGGAUGGUGGAGGGAUGGAAGAAAACUGUAAAGGGCUUUGGGACAAGGUGUUGGCAGUGCCUGAGCCAGGGAUGGAAAGCUGAACCCUUUAGUCUCAAGAGCCUGGCUGGAAGGUCUGAGCUAAGCAUAUCCACUAAUUUGAAGCCCCUUAAGGAAGACCACCACUUACGUAUCAACAAAGGAUCCUUUAUUGACCAGAGCAGGACCGUGGCAUUUAUAUAUAUAUAUAUAUAUAAAAAAAAAAGUUUGAAGAUCUGGCAGGCAGUGAUCCUAUUGUCCGCCCACCACCCCCAGCACUGAUUUCCUGCUCCCUGCACAGGGAAGGGGGAGGAUGACUGCUCCACCCAGGCCACAGGGCCACACUCCCCUGCAAACAGAGGAAGAAAGGGGCUUUUCUGUAGCCACCCCCUGCACAUCAGAAAUCAACAAGUAUUCUCUCAAAGAAAAAAAAAUACAGAAAUUGAAACAUUUAAAUAUGAAAAACCAAAGGGAAGUGAGUGGGAAGAGGCAAGAGAGGAAAGGAACUGGAGUUUCUUGGGAAGGGACUCCCAUGUCUCCCUUCCCAUUUAUGGGCUUGGGGUCUGGGGUACGAGGCUCACACAGUGAGUUUGCAGUGACACAGCUCCUUGUAGAUCUGCCGACGAAGUUUGGGCAUGUCCUGCUGGGUGAAGCUGAAUGGCUGAGACAGGGCCAGAUGCUUGCAGUACUGGG
rnacentral:lncRNA from 1 species